rnacentral:tRNA from 1 species
GCCUUCGUGGUGUAACGGUUAGCACACUCGGCACGUAUUCGAGGGGUCCAGGUUCGAAUCCCGGCUAGAUCA